CCUACGGGUGGCAGCAGUGGGGAAUAUUGGACAAUGGGGGGAACCCUGAUCCAGCCAUACCGCGUGUGUGAAGAAGGCCCUCGGGUUGUAAAGCACUUUCAGUGAGGAAGAACGCCUGGUGGUUAAUACCCAUCAGGAAAGACAUCACUCACAGAAGAAGCACCGGCUAACUCCGUGCCAGCAGCCGCGGUAAUACGGAGGGUGCGAGCGUUAAUCGGAAUUACUGGGCGUAAAGCGCGCGUAGGUGGCUUGAUAAGCCGGUUGUGAAAGCCCCGGGCUCAACCUGGGAACGGCAUCCGGAACUGUCAAGCUAGAGUACAGGAGAGGAAGGUAGAAUUCCCGGUGUAGCGGUGAAAUGCGUAGAGAUCGGGAGGAAUACCAGUGGCGAAGGCGGCCUUCUGGACUGACACUGACACUGAGGUGUGAAAGCGUGGGUAGCAAACAGGAUUAGAUACCCCAGUAGUC
rnacentral:rRNA from 1 species